GACGGAGGGGGCUAGCGUUGUCCGGAAUCAUUGGGCGUAAAGAGCGUGUAGGCGGCCCGGUAAGUCCGCUGUAAAAGUCAAAGGCUCAACCUUUGAAUGUCAGUGGAUACUGCCGGGCUAGAGUCCGGAAGAGGCGAGUGGAACUCCUGGUGUAGCGGUGGAAUGCGCAGAUAUCAGGAAGAACACCAACGGCGAAGGCAGCUCGCUGGGACGGUACUGACGCUGAGACGCGAAAGCGUGGGGAGCGAACAGG
rnacentral:rRNA from 1 species